UGACUCAUGUGAUGGGUUUGUCAGUGAAGU
rnacentral:piRNA from 1 species